ACUAUAUAGUGUAUUGCACUCACGUAACGUUUAGACUAGGCCAAUAGAUCAGAAGAAGGGCACGGCUACUGGAGAGAAGAGAACAGCACAACAGAUGCAUGGAUUCAGCAGAUCGAGUACACAGAUAAAAAGAGAAAAAUAAAAGAGGAAAAUAAAAUAAAAUAAAACUUUUACAACAAUCAAA